GGGCGGUUCGUAUAGCGGCAAUUACUCGUGGCUGUAGACCACGCGGCCUUUGGCCUUCGGGGGUUCGAGUCCCUCACCGCCCACCA
rnacentral:tRNA from 1 species